rnacentral:rRNA from 1 species
AGUGAACGCUGGCGGUAGGCCUAACACAUGCAAGUCGAACGGCAGCACAGAGGAGCUUGCUCCUUGGGUGGCGAGUGGCGGACGGGUGAGGAAUACAUCGGAAUCUACUCUGUCGUGGGGGAUAACGUAGGGAAACCUACGCUAAUACCGCAUACGACCUACGGGUGAAAGCCGGGGAUCUUCGGACCUUGCGCGAUUGAAUGAGCCGAUGUCGGAUUAGCUAGUUGGCGGGGUAAAGGCCCACCAAGGCGACGAUCCGUAGCUGGUCUGAGAGGAUGAUCAGCCACACUGGAACUGAGACACGGUCCAGACUCCUACGGGAGGCAGCAGUGGGGAAUAUUGGACAAUGGGCGCAAGCCUGAUCCAGCCAUACCGCGUGGGUGAAGAAGGCCUUCGGGUUGUAAAGCCCUUUUGUUGGGAAAGAAAUCCAUCUGGUUAAUACCCGGGUGGGAUGACGGUACCCAAAGAAUAAGCACCGGCUAACUUCGUGCCAGCAGCCGCGGUAA